AGGAUUCCCCUAGUAACUGCGAGUGAAGCGGGAAAAGCUCAAAUUUAAAAUCUGGUGGCCUUUGGCCAUCCGAGUUGUAAUUUAGAGAAGCGUCUUCCGCGCCGGACCGUGCACAAGUCUCCUGGAAUGGAGCGUCGUAGAGGGUGAGAAUCCCGUCUUUGGCAUGGAUGACCGGGGCUUUUGUGAUGCGCUCUCGAAGAGUCGAGUUGUUUGGGAAUGCAGCUCAAAAUGGGUGGUGAACUCCAUCUAAAGCUAAAUAUUGGCGAGAGACCGAUAGCGAACAAGUACCGUGAGGGAAAGAUGAAAAGCACUUUGGAAAGAGAGUGAAACAGUACGUGAAAUUGUUGAAAGGGAAACGCUUGAAGUCAGUCGCGUCGGCCGAGACUCAGCCUUGCCUCGGCUUGGUGUACUUCUUGACCGACGGGUCAGCAUCAAUUUUGCCCCUUGGAUAAUGGCGAGGGAAAUGUGACACCUUUAUAGGUGUGUUAUAGUCUCUCGUCGCAUGCAAGGGUCGGGAUUGAGGAACUCAGCACGCGCCUUCGGGCGUCGGGGCCUUGCCCACGAUACGUGCUUAGGAUGUUGGCGUAAUGGCUUUAAACGACCCGUCUUGAAACACGGACCAAGGAGUCUAACAUGCCCGCGAGUGUUCGGGUGGAAAACCCGUGCGCGCAAUGAAAGUGAAAGUUGGGACCUCUGUCGCGGAGGGCACCGACGCCCGGACCAGAGCUUCUGCGACGGAUCUGCGGUGGAGCGUGUAUGUUAGGACCCGAAAGAUGGUGAACUAUGCCUGAAUAGGGUGAAGCCAGAGGAAACUCUGGUGGAGGCUCGUAGCGAUUCUGACGUGCAAAUCGAUCGUCAAAUUUGGGUAUAGGGGCGAAAGACUAAUCGAACCAUCUAGUAGCUGGUUCCUG
rnacentral:rRNA from 1 species